rnacentral:rRNA from 1 species
UGGGGAAUUUUGGACAAUGGGGGCAACCCUGAUCCAGCAAUGCCGCGUGAGUGAAGAAGGCCUUCGGGUUGUAAAGCUCUUUUGUCGGGGAAGAAACGGUGAGGUUUAAUACAUUUCACUAAUGACGGUACCCGAAGAAUAAGCACCGGCUAACUACGUGCCAGCAGCCGCGGUAAUACAUAGGGUGCAAGCGUUGUCCGGAAUUAUUGGGCGUAAAGAGUUCGUAGGUGGUUCGUUACGUCGGAUGUGAAAAUCUGGGGCUCAACCCCAGACCUGCAUUCGAUACGGGCGAGCUAGAGUUUGGUAGGGGAGACUGGAAUUCCUGGUGUAGCGGUGGAAUGCGCAGAUAUCCGGAGGGACACCAAUGGCGAAGGCAGGUCUCUGGGCCAAUACUGACACUGAGGAACGAAAGCGUGGGGAGCGAACAGG